rnacentral:rRNA from 1 species
UGGGGAAUCUUGCGCAAUGGGCGAAAGCCUGACGCAGCAACGCCGCGUGAGCGAAGAAGGCCUUCGGGUUGUAAAGCUCUGUCAGGAGGGACGAAGCCACUCGGGUGAACAGCCCAGAGGGUGACGGUACCUCCAGAGGAAGCCCCGGCUAACUACGUGCCAGCAGCCGCGGUAGUACGUAGGGGGCGAGCGUGGUCCGGAAUCAUUGGGCGUAAAGCGCGUGUAGGCGGCUUGGCAAGUCUGGUGUGAAAGCUCGAGGCUCAACCUCGAGUCUGCACCGGAAACUGCCGUGCUAGAGUCCGGAAGAGGAGACUGGAAUUCCUGGUGUAGCGGUGAAAUGUGAAGAUAUCAGGAAGAACACCGGUGGCGAAGGCGGGUCUCUGGGACGGUACUGACGCUGAGACGCGAAAGCGUGGGGAGCAAACA